GACGAACGCUGGCGGCGUGCUUAACACAUGCAAGUCGAACGGAAAGGCCCUGCUUUUGUGGGGUGCUCGAGUGGCGAACGGGUGAGUAACACGUGAGUAACCUGCCCUUGACUUUGGGAUAACUUCAGGAAACUGGGGCUAAUACCGGAUAGGAGCUCCUGCUGCAUGGUGGGGGUUGGAAAGUUUCGGCGGUUGGGGCUGGACUCGCGGCUUAUCAGCUUGUUGGUGGGGUAGUGGCUUACCAAGGGUUUGACGGGUAGCCGGCCUGAGAGGGUGACCGGCCACAUUGGGACUGAGAUACGGCCCAGACUCCUACGGGAGGCAGCAGUGGGGAAUAUUGCACAAUGGGCGGAAGCCUGAUGCAGCAACGCCGCGUGCGGGAUGACGGCCUUCGGGUUGUAAACCGCUUUCGCCUGUGACGAAGCGUGAGUGACGGUAAUGGGUAAAGAAGCACCGGCUAACUACGUG
rnacentral:rRNA from 1 species